AUUGAACGCUGGCGGCAUGCCUUACACAUGCAAGUCGAACGGCAGCGCGGGAGCAAUCCUGGCGGCGAGUGGCGAACGGGUGAGUAAUACAUCGGAACGUGCCCAAUCGUGGGGGAUAACGCAGCGAAAGCUGUGCUAAUACCGCAUACGAUCUACGGAUGAAAGCAGGGGAUCGCAAGACCUUGCGCGACUGUAGCGGCCGAUGGCAGAUUAGGUAUUUGGUGAGGUAAAGGCUCACCAAGCCUUCGAUCUGUAGCUGGUCUGAGAGGACGACCAGCCACACUGGGACUGAGACACGGCCCAGACUCCUACGGGAGGCAGCAGUGGGGAAUUUUGGACAAUGGGCGAAAGCCUGAUCCAGCCAUGCCGCGUGCAGGAUGAAGGCCUUCGGGUUGUAAACUGCUUUUGUACGGAACGAAACGGUCUUUUCUAAUAAAGAAGGCUAAUGACGGUACCGUAAGAAUAAGCACCGGCUAACUACGUG
rnacentral:rRNA from 1 species